AUUGAACGCUGGCGGCAUGCUUUACACAUGCAAGUCGAACGGUAACAGGCCGCAAGGUGCUGACGAGUGGCGAACGGGUGAGUAAUGCAUCGGAACGUGCCCAGUCGUGGGGGAUAACGCAGCGAAAGCUGCGCUAAUACCGCAUACGAUCUAUGGAUGAAAGCGGGGGACCGUAAGGCCUCGCGCGAUUGGAGCGGCCGAUGUCAGAUUAGGUAGUUGGUGGGGUAAAGGCUCACCAAGCCAACGAUCUGUAGCUGGUCUGAGAGGACGACCAGCCACACUGGGACUGAGACACGGCCCAGACUCCUACGGGAGGCAGCAGUGGGGAAUUUUGGACAAUUGGCGCAAGCCUGAUCCAGCAAUGCCGCGUGCAGGAAGAAGGCCUUCGGGUUGUGAACUGCUUUUGUACGGAACGAAACGGUCCUGGUUAAUACCUGGGGCUAAUGACGGUACCGUAAGAAUAAGCACCGGCUAACUACGUGCCAGCCGCCGCAGUAAUAC
rnacentral:rRNA from 1 species